rnacentral:rRNA from 1 species
UACGUAGGGUGCGAGCGUAAUCGGAAUUACUGGGCGUAAAGCGUGCGCAGGCGGUUUUGUAAGCCAGAUGUGAAAUCCCCGGGCUUAACCUGGGAAUGGCAUUUGGGACUGGCAAGGCUUGAGUGCGGCAGAGGAGACUGGAAUUCCUGGUGUAGCAGUGAAAUGCGUAGAUAUCAGGAGGAACACCGAUGGCGAAGGCAGGUCUCUGGGCUGGACACUGACG